rnacentral:lncRNA from 13 species
GAAGAAAGGCAACACCGCCACAGUGAUAAAGCAAAGAGAAAAAGCGUGGCAAAGUAUUGCAGACCGCCUGAAUGCGUAAGUAGUGCACAAUUACACACUCACCGCUCCGCUGAAACAUCACAAUUACAAUUNNNNNNNNNNAAAUACAAGAACAUUCUGCAGAAUGCAGUGAAAAAGAAUACCCACAGACAAGGCACGGGUGGUGGGUCACCAAAGGCUGACCUUACCCCAGCAGAGGACAUGGCCUUGGAGCUAAAUAAAGGCAGGCCCGUCUUAGAGGGGAUCCCUGGGGGGAAAGAGACGAGCAUAGGUUCCUCCCAAGAUGCCACCCGCUUCAUUCAAGUGUCUGGCAGCACUGUGUUCCUGUUAGAGCCACCAGCACAAGCACCAGACGAUGCUGAUCCAGUGAGUACUCCAUCAAAGGCAUACUGUAGGCCUGGCAGUAGACGAUGGAGACGAUGA